CACGUAGGGGGCAAGCGUUGUCCGGAUUUAUUGGGCGUAAAGAGCUCGUAGGCGGCUCAGUAAGUCGGGUGUGAAACCUCCAGGCUCAACCUGGAGACGCCAUCCGAUACUGCUGUGGCUAGAGUCCGGUAGGGGAGCGUGGAAUUCCUGGUGUAGCGGUGAAAUGCGCAGAUAUCGGGAGGAACACCAGCGGCGAAGGCGGCGCUCUGGGCCGGAACUGACGCUGAGGAGCGAAAGCGUGGGGAGCGAACAGG
rnacentral:rRNA from 1 species